rnacentral:lncRNA from 1 species
GUCCCCUUCGUGGUUGAAUUUAAACAUUCAGGUCAAUGUUUAGUUCAAGUGUGGGGGGGUUUUCUCCUUUCAUGUUUUUAUUUUCUUUCGAUUUGUUUUGUUUUUGUUAUGUUAUCAUUAUACUAGUAUGUUUGUUUGUUUUGUUUGUUUUCUGUUUUUUUGGACCUACUGUGUGUACAGAGUGAUGAAAAAACGGUUGGAUGAGCCCGGGAUCAAUGGUAGUGGAUGAAUGACACCCCUCAAAC